GAUGAACGCUGGCGGCGUGCCUAAUACAUGCAAGUCGAGCGAACGGACGAGAAGCUUGCUUCUCUGAUGUUAGCGGCGGACGGGUGAGUAACACGUGGAUAACCUACCUAUAAGACUGGGAUAACUUCGGGAAACCGGAGCUAAUACCGGAUAAUAUUUUGAACCGCAUGGUUCAAAGGUGAAAGACGGUCUUGCUGUCACUUAUAGAUGGAUCCGCGCUGCAUUAGCUAGGUGGUAAGGUAACGGCUUACCAAGGCAACGAUGCAUAGCCGACCUGAGAGGGUGAGCGGCCACCCUGGAACUGAGACACGGUCCAGACUCCUACGGGAGGCAGCAGUAGGGAAUCUUCCGCAAUGGGCGAAAGUCUGACGGAGCAACGCCGCGUGAGUGAUGAAGGUCUUCGGAUCGUAAAACUCUGUUAUUAGGGAAGAACAUAUGUGUAAGUAACUGUGCACAUCUUGACGGUACCUAAUCAGAAAGCCACGGCUAACUACGUG
rnacentral:rRNA from 1 species